GAUGAACGCUGGCGGCGUGCCUAAUACAUGCAAGUCGAGCGAACGGACGAGAAGCUUGCUUCUCUGAUGUUAGCGGCGGACGGGUGAGUAACACGUGGAUAACCUACCUAUAAGACUGGGAUAACUUCGGGAAACCGGAGCUAAUACCGGAUAAUAUUUUGAACCGCAUGGUUCAAAAGUGAAAGACGGUCUUGCUGUCACUUAUAGAUGGAUCCGCGCUGCAUUAGCUAGUUGGUAAGGUAACGGCUUACCAAGGCAACGAUGCAUAGCCGACCUGAGAGGGUGAUCGGCCACACUGGAACUGAGACACGGUCCAGACUCCUACGGGAGGCAGCAGUAGGGAAUCUUCCGCAAUGGGCGAAAGCCUGACGGAGCAACGCCGCGUGAGUGAUGAAGGUCUUCGGAUCGUAAAACUCUGUUAUUAGGGAAGAACAUAUGUGUAAGUAACUGUGCACACCUUGACGGUACCUAAUCAGAAAGCCACGGCUAACUACGUGCCAGCAGCCGCGGUAAUACGUAGGUGGCAAGCGUUAUCCGGAAUUAUUGGGCGUAAAGCGCGCGUAGGCGGUUUUUUAAGUCUGAUGUGAAAGCCCACGGCUCAACCGUGGAGGGUCAUUGGAAACUGGAAAACUUGAGUGCAGAAGAGGGAAGUGGAAUUCCAUGUGUAGCGGUGAAAUGCGCAGAGAUAUGGAGGAACACCAGUGGCGAAGGCGACUUUCUGGUCUGUAACUGACGCUGAUGUGCGAAAGCGUGGGGAUCAAACAGGAUUAGAUACCCUGGUAGUCCACGCCGUAAACGAUGAGUGCUAAGUGUUAGGGGGUUUCCGCCCCUUAGUGCUGCAGCUAACGCAUUAAGCACUCCGCCUGGGGAGUACGACCGCAAGGUUGAAACUCAAAGGAAUUGACGGGGACCCGCACAAGCGGUGGAGCAUGUGGUUUAAUUCGAAGCAACGCGAAGAACCUUACCAAAUCUUGACAUCCUUUGACAACUCUAGAGAUAGAGCCUUCCCCUUCGGGGGACAAAGUGACAGGUGGUGCAUGGUUGUCGUCAGCUCGUGUCGUGAGAUGUUGGGUUAAGUCCCGCAACGAGCGCAACCCUUAAGCUUAGUUGCCAUCAUUAAGUUGGGCACUCUAAGUUGACUGCCGGUGACAAACCGGAGGAAGGUGGGGAUGACGUCAAAUCAUCAUGCCCCUUAUGAUUUGGGCUACACACGUGCUACAAUGGACAAUACAAAGGGCAGCGAAACCGCGAGGUCAAGCAAAUCCCAUAAAGUUGUUCUCAGUUCGGAUUGUAGUCUGCAACUCGACUACAUGAAGCUGGAAUCGCUAGUAAUCGUAGAUCAGCAUGCUACGGUGAAUACGUUCCCGGGUCU
rnacentral:rRNA from 1 species